AGGCAAGUUGGUGAGCUUUGGUGAAGCAAACAACCUUACAUGAUGUGAGUGGUCCUUGUGCCCAGUUGAAGCCGUGAGUAAAACAAAGUCUGACAUAGCCUUGAGCAAGAAAGAACUCUACCUCCAGACAACUUCGGGGGCAGGUGCAAAGUUGGUGCUGCCCUGGGUCUCUAGCUGCCAGCUUCCCCGACAGGCUUCGGGUGCCCAUAGCCCCACAAUCAAGGAAUCCAGUUUCUAAAAUUAACCUACCUCUCUCUUUUCCCCUUCCUCCUCCCACUCUUCCUCGCUCUUCCUCCCGCUAGUUCUGUGGCCCUGCAGACUCCUGACUGAACUAACACAGUUGGGGAGAAUAAGCCGUAAAAAGGGGAGCUUUUCUGUCCUUUCACUUUGCACUGAUGCCCCAUCCAUCCUCCCUUUCUGCUUGCCAUGGUAAAUGGUGUCCGACGUAACACAGAUGCACUGUGCACUGGAGAGGCAGAGCAUCCUGCCUUCCACAGCCGUGCACACCAGUCCCUGUGCACAAGUGGCCACCCACCCAGCGAAUCGACGUGGUGUGCUUAUCAAAAUCUGUGUGUCUGUGGGCCAGAGCCAAAUCCAGGAUAUUGACGGAUGUCCUUACUGGUAAGGCUGUCUGGGACUCUCAGUGAAAAGACCGGCCAUGUGUGCCUCCAGAUGGUACUAGAUCCAGGUGCUAGAACAAGAUGAGCAAGUGAAUCUCUCAUACUUCAGAUCCUUCAAGGAUCUUGAAAAGAGCGCUGGAAUCAAAGGCGAACGCCACCACUGCCCGGCCUUGUUUUGUUUUUAAAGACAGUUUUCGGCACACAGAGAGGCUGUGAGUUAGGACGGGGGUUUCUUGCCGUUGCCACCAUUCUCAUUGACACGUUAUGCUGCACACAGCAGAGCCCCAUCCUGAAUGCCCAGCGGUGCCCACAGCCAGGAGGAGCAUUCGAUGUGUGAUGACUCAUCUCGUGCAUCAGACGCUCUCUAAAGUUCCCACAGAUUAUACCAUGGCUUAGUGAGUGCGAUUCUAAGACAGUUCCAAAAGACUUUUCAAUCCGUGGGAGUUUCAAAGUGGAUUCUCAGACAAACAUGGGGAGGACUGAGGCAGGCUUGGACACGCACAGAAUCAGACAACGAUGGGCUGAGGAAGUGGCUCAGCGGUUAAGAGCACUGUCUGCUCUUCCAAAGGUCCGGAGUUCAAAUCCCUGCAACCACAUGGUGGCUCACAACCAACUGUAAUGAGAUCUGGCGCCCUCUUCUGGAGUGUCUGAAGACAGAUACAGUGUACUUACAUAUAGUAAAUAAAUAAAUCUUAAAAAAAAAAAAAA
rnacentral:lncRNA from 1 species